AGUGAACGCUGGCGGUAGGCCUAACACAUGCAAGUCGAACGGCAGCACAGUAAGAGCUUGCUCUUACGGGUGGCGAGUGGCGGACGGGUGAGGAAUACAUCGGAAUCUACUUUUUCGUGGGGGAUAACGUAGGGAAACUUACGCUAAUACCGCAUACGACCUACGGGUGAAAGCAGGGGAUCUUCGGACCUUGCGCGAUUGAAUGAGCCGAUGUCGGAUUAGCUUGUUAGCGGGGUAAAGGCCCACCAAGGCGACGAUCCGUAGCUGGUCUGAGAGGAUGAACAGCCACACUGGAACUGAGACACGGUCCAGACUCCUACGGGAGGCAGCAGUGGGGAAUAUUGGACAAUGGGCGCAAGCCUGAUCCAGCCAUACCGCGUGGGUGAAGAAGGCCUUCGGGUUGUAAAGCCCUUUUGUUGGGAAAGAAAAGCAGCAGGUGAAUACCCCGCUGUUCUGACGGUACCCAAAGAAUAAGCACCGGCUAACUUCGUG
rnacentral:rRNA from 1 species